rnacentral:rRNA from 1 species
AUUGAACGCUGGCGGCAGGCUUAACACAUGCAAGUCGAGCGGGCGAGGUUGCUUCGGUAACUGAGCUAGCGGCGGACGGGUGAGUAAUGCUUAGGAAUCUGCCUAUUAGUGGGGGACAACAUUCCGAAAGGGAUGCUAAUACCGCAUACGUCCUACGGGAGAAAGCAGGGGCUCUUUGUGACCUUGCGCUAAUAGAUGAGCCUAAGUCGGAUCAGCUAGUUGGUGGGGUAAAGGCCUACCAAGGCGACGAUCCGUAGCGGGUCUGAGAGGAUGAUCCGCCACACUGGGACUGAGACACGGCCCAGACUCCUACGGGAGGCAGCAGUGGGGAAUAUUGGACAAUGGGGGGAACCCUGAUCCAGCCAUGCCGCGUGUGUGAAGAAGGCCUUUUGGUUGUAAAGCACUUUAAGUGGGGAGGAGGCUUACCUGGUUAAUACCUGGGCUAAGUGGACGUUACCCACAGAAUAAGCACCGGCUAACUCUGUGCCAGCAGCCGCCGUAA